AGUAACACGUGGGAAACCUGCCCAGAAGCGGGGGAUAACACCUGGAAACAGAUGCUAAUACCGCAUAACAACUUGGACCGCAUGGUCCGAGUUUGAAAGAUGGCUUCGGCUAUCACUUUUGGAUGGUCCCGCGGCGUAUUAGCUAGAUGGUGGGGUAACGGCUCACCAUGGCAAUGAUACGUAGCCGACCUGAGAGGGUAAUCGGCCACAUUGGGACUGAGACACGGCCCAAACUCCUACGGGAGGCAGCAGUAGGGAAUCUUCCACAAUGGACGAAAGUCUGAUGGAGCAACGCCGCGUGAGUGAAGAAGGGUUUCGGCUCGUAAAACUCUGUUGUUAAAGAAGAACAUAUCUGAGAGUAACUGUUCAGGUAUUGACGGUAUUUAACCAGAAAGCCACGGCUAACUACGUGCCAGCAGCCGCGGUAAUACGUAGGUGGCAAGCGUUGUCCGGAUUUAUUGGGCGUAAAGCGAGCGCAGGCGGUUUUUUAAGUCUGAUGUGAAAGCCUUCGGCUCAACCGAAGAAGUGCAUCGGAAACUGGGAAACUUGAGUGCAGAAGAGGACAGUGGAACUCCAUGUGUAGCGGUGAAAUGCGUAGAUAUAUGGAAGAACACCAGUGGCGAAGGCGGCUGUCUGGUCUGUAACUGACGCUGAGGCUCGAAAGUAUGGGUAGCAAACAGGAUUAGAUACCCUGGUAGUCCAUACCGUAAACGAUGAAUGCUAAGUGUUGGAGGGUUUCCGCCCUUCAGUGCUGCAGCUAACGCAUUAAGCAUUCCGCCUGGGGAGUACGGCCGCAAGGCUGAAACUCAAAGGAAUUGACGGGGGCCCGCACAAGCGGUGGAGCAUGUGGUUUAAUUCGAAGCUACGCGAAGAACCUUACCAGGUCUUGACAUACUAUGCAAAUCUAAGAGAUUAGACGUUCCCUUCGGGGACAUGGAUACAGGUGGUGCAUGGUUGUCGUCAGCUCGUGUCGUGAGAUGUUGGGUUAAGUCCCGCAACGAGCGCAACCCUUAUUAUCAGUUGCCAGCAUUAAGUUGGGCACUCUGGUGAGACUGCCGGUGACAAACCGGAGGAAGGUGGGGAUGACGUCAAAUCAUCAUGCCCCUUAUGACCUGGGCUACACACGUGCUACAAUGGAUGGUACAACGAGUUGCGAACUCGCGAGAGUAAGCUAAUCUCUUAAAGCCAUUCUCAGUUCGGAUUGUAGGCUGCAACUCGCCUACAUGAAGUCGGAAUCGCUAG
rnacentral:rRNA from 2 species